UUACAACUUAUGCAAAAUAGCCCCUUUAGGUGUUUUCAUGCUAACACAUUUUACAAAAGUUGUUUAUAACACAACUAGGACUCAUAUUCCUCCACAAAAACUCAAUAAACAUCACAAAUCCUUUCAUGGAAACACUCUAAACUCUUGACCAUUUUGCAAGAUAUCACCCUCAUUUGAAAACUCAUGCUUCAAGGGUCUCAAAAAUGCAAAAAUCAUCAACAAAGGGUGUGGGAAUCACUUACUUGUGAGGGCUUUUAGUUGCUGAAAAUUUUCAGCCUUCAAAAAUCCAUUUUUGCUGAUAUUUUC
rnacentral:lncRNA from 1 species